UCCGGUUUGUCACCGGCAGUCUCCUUAGAGUUCCCACCAUGACGUGCUGGCAACUAAGGACAAGGGUUGCGCUCGUUGAUGGACUUAACCAAACAUCUCACGACACGAGCUGACGACGGCCAUGCAACACCUGUCACUAGGCUCAAUAAAGCACUCACUUCUUUCGAAGUAAUUCCUAGGAUGUCAAACCCUGGUAAGGUUCUUCGCUUAUCAUCGAAUUAAACAACACACUCCACCGCUUGUGCAGCUCCCCGUCAAUUCCUUUGAGUUUUAAUCUUGCGAUCGUACUCCCCAGGCGGGAUGCUUAACGCGUUAGCUUUGCAACGCACCGGGUCGAUACGGCACACUGCUAGCAUCCAUCGUUUACAGCGUGGACUAC
rnacentral:misc_RNA from 1 species